GCCUGUGUGGUGCAAUGGUUAGAGAGUUGGACUAGGACUCUGAAGACCAGGGUUUGAAUUCCUAGCUUGGCCA